AGCGGAGGGAUCAUUACCGAGUUUACAACUCCCAAACCCAAUGUGAACGUUACCAAACUGUUGCCUCGGCGGGAUCUCUGCCCCGGGUGCGUCGCAGCCCCGGACCAAGGCGCCCGCCGGAGGACCAACCAAAACUCUUAUUGUAUACCCCCUCGCGGGUUUUUUUAUAAUCUGAGCCUUCUCGGCGCCUCUCGUAGGCGUUUCGAAAAUGAAUCAAAACUUUCAACAACGGAUCUCUUGGUUCUGGCAUCGAUGAAGAACGCAGCGAAAUGCGAUAAGUAAUGUGAAUUGCAGAAUUCAGUGAAUCAUCGAAUCUUUGAACGCACAUUGCGCCCGCCAGUAUUCUGGCGGGCAUGCCUGUCCGAGCGUCAUUUCAACCCUCGAACCCCUCCGGGGGGUCGGCGUUGGGGAUCGGCCCUGCCUUUGGCGGUGGCCGUCUCCGAAAUACAGUGGCGGUCUCGCCGCAGCCUCUCCUGCGCAGUAGUUUGCACACUCGCAUCGGGAGCGCGGCGCGUCCACAGCCGUUAAACACCCAACUUCUGAAAUGUUGACCUCGGAUCAGGUAGGAAUACCCGCUGAACU
rnacentral:rRNA from 1 species